rnacentral:pre_miRNA from 1 species
GAUUUCAACUGAAAAAGUCAUCAACAUCAAAGUUGUUUAACUCAUCAAGGUCUAUAACUUUUAUUUGGGUCAUUUCUUCAUCCGACAAAGUGAUAUGUAACAUUGUUCACAAAAUGUAUAUAUCUCUCUAAUAAUCUACAAACUAUAUAUGUACAUUUUGUGAACAAUGUUACAAGUCGCUUUACCGGAUGAAGAAAUGACCCAAAUAAAAGUUAUAGACCUUGAUGAGUUAUACAACUUUAAAAUUGAUGAAUUUUUCAGUUGAAAUC